UCAACCUUUACUCAUUCCAGAGGUCCAUAGUUCAUAUUUGUUUAUAAAGCACGUCAAUACUUCGAUACCACAAUCCUUUUAGGCUGAUCUAUUAAUCAUUUCAAGCUUUUUUCUUUUCUCUGUUUGACCAGCUGAGUCGCCUGUCUCCUGCUUCCAGCAGCAGGGUCAAGUUCAUUUCCCAGUGACUCAUCCCUGUGGUCUGGAGAGUGGAUCAAGGAGCGACUGAGCCUUCCAGAACAGAUGAAGUGAGAUGGAGGUUAAGAUGCAAGGCUCAGAUUUGAGGCUGAGAUUGAAAGGCUUCAGGGGAGCUGUUGGAUUCAGAGGGUGUGUUUGCUAUUUGUCGCAUGGACCGAGGCGUAUUCUAUGUGAGUAUUAACAGAUUGCUUUGAGGUUCGUGAAUGCAGAUGGCGGAGAGAGACAGACAUGGAGAUGAGAAAUGUUAUUUUCAGUGAGGGCUGUGAAGAUGGGUGGGCUGAGACUCCAUGUCCUGUUUCAUUAAAGGAGAGAGAAGGGGCUCCACUCAUCAUGGUCAUGAAGUGAGAAGUGUAUUCUUUUGCAAAGACCCCAAUCAGUUCAUCCACUAAUUCAUCCUUUAGUCCAUCCAUCUAUCCAUCCAUCCACUUCGGGAGAAUUGUCAGGCCGAUUUGGAGUCUGAGAAUUUCAUAUUUAUUUGCAUGGCUUAAUGAUUUACAUGCAGCUCCAGGGGGUUACACUAAGCAGAGUCGGACUCUCCUCCCACAGUCAGCCUUCGUUAAGGGGAGGUAGGCAAGAGAUGGUCCAGAUACGGGUCCAAACGCUGGGCCGGUCCCUGGUGUCCACACACUCUUCAUCUGACUGCAUUGGUCCUGACAAGCUCAUAUAUGGUUACCAUUACCAAUGCAUGUUAAGACUUGUCCUUUUUCCACUCGUGUUGUGUCUGCUCUCAAUGCAAAGACUCAGAGGGUCGAGGACAACAGACUGUGUUGACACCAUAUCUGUGUUUUGAGACACAUUACUUUUUAUGGAUAUACUGUAUAUGUGUGUGUGCAUGUGUGUAUACCCACAUUGUUGAGAAAAUCUGAGCUGCAAGCUUUAAAAUAAGUAUCUGUAACCAUGACUAUGCUUUUGGUGCAGGAAUAACCAGAAUUUGAACUGUGAAACUCUCCUUCAAAUCCAAUGGGUACAGUGUUGGCUUUAGCUCAGUGUGCUAGCUGACAGAGGUCUUGUGACUACAUUUUUUGUAUUUUAACCCAGUUAGUCAACUGAUGUGCAGAGCACUGCAAGAGUUCCCAGUGCCUAUAAAUGUACCAAAUUUGGUGUGAACAGCAGAGGAAAGCUGUAGUCAGACAACAAUAUUGGUCUUUGGCUUGACUGCAUACUUGUAUGGAAUAAAUUAUGUGUAACUUGUGUAAGUUGGUUACCCAGACUGAGUGAUUCAAAAUCAUAUGAUUCCCUAAAUUGAGAGAUAUUACAAAGAGCCACAUUGUUAGUAUUUCAAACCACUAUUUAUAGUCAAUGUUUUUUACUUAUAAAUUCUGUAUAGAACAUCAAAGCCAAAAAUAUAUAUUUUUAGGUUAUGAAAUUCUUUUACUGGUUCCAUUUGCCAUUUGCUUUCAACUUCAAUUUAUCACCUCCAAAUUCUUUUUUUUACAAAAGUCAACAAAUGUUCUCAUGAUUUUUAUAACACCAACUGUCAUUUUGUCCUAUAGAACUGUCAGUAAAACUAAAGAAAGACAAAUGAAGAGUUUGUGACAGAGA